GUCCCAAUGAACAGCACGGUUGUUUUGUGCAAUUGAAUUCCAAACUUUGGUUCCUUCCAUUAUCAAUCUCUUGGCAAUCAUUAUUUGAUGCCUGUGGUGGGAACACCCCGAGUAUNNNNNNNNNNNUCAUGUGCAAAUCUCAAAAGAUCUUCUUCAGAGGCAGAGGUUGCAACCUCCUUUAGCAGAAGAGCUCUAUCAGUCAAGCCUCCCAAGCAGUAUUUAAAGACAGUCAAGUCCGAAAUUGAAUAGCCACUGCUUGACACAACCUUGAAAUCUGAAUCUCUUUCCU
rnacentral:misc_RNA from 1 species